GCGGGCGGAGCAUUUCCUGCACCUGCGUUGUGAAAUUCCGAUGCCAAGCGUUGUCGAGGAGGCGAAGGAACUGGUCGGCCGGCCGGAUGUGCGGCUGAUGUCGCUGAUGGAUCACACGCCGGGCCAGCGCCAGUUUCGCGACGAAGGCAAGCUGCGUGACUAUUAUCGCGGCAAGAGUGGCGGUCUGACGGACGCAGAGCUGGAUGUGAUGUUCGAGCGGCGUUUUGUCUAUCAGAAGACUUACGGCGAAACCAAUAUGCGGGCGA
rnacentral:misc_RNA from 1 species